CGGGGAGGAGCCCAGAGCCUGAAUCAGUGUGUGUGUUAGUGGAAGCGUCUGGAAAGGCGCGCGAUACAGGGUGACAGCCCCGUACACAAAAAUGCACAUAUUGUGAGCUCGAUGAGUAGGGCGGGACACGUGGUAUCCUGUCUGAAUAUGGGGGGACCAUCCUCCAAGGCUAAAUACUCCUGACUGACCGAUAGUGAACCAGUACCGUGAGGGAAAGGCGAAAAGAACCCCGGCGAGGGGAGUGAAAAAGAACCUGAAACCGUGUACGUACAAGCAGUGGGAGCCUCUUAAUGGGGUGACUGCGUACCUUUUGUAUAAUGGGUCAGCGACUUAUAUUCUGUAGCAAGGUUAACCGAAUAGGGGAGCCGAAGGGAAACCGAGUCUUAACUGGGCGUUAAGUUGCAGGGUAUAGACCCGAAACCCGGUGAUCUAGCCAUGGGCAGGUUGAAGGUUGGGUAACACUAACUGGAGGACCGAACCGACUAAUGUUGAAAAAUUAGCGGAUGACUUGUGGCUGGGGGUGAAAGGCCAAUCAAACCGGGAGAUAGCUGGUUCUCCCCGAAAGCUAUUUAGGUAGCGCCUCGUGAAUUCAUCUCCGGGGGUAGAGCACUGUUUCGGCAAGGGGGUCAUCCCGACUUACCAACCCGAUGCAAACUGCGAAUACCGGAGAAUGUUAUCACGGGAGACACACGGCGGGUGCUAACGUCCGUCGUGAAGAGGGAAACAACCCAGACCGCCAGCUAAGGUCCCAAAGUCAUGGUUAAGUGGGAAACGAUGUGGGAAGGCCCAGACAGCCAGGAUGUUGGCUUAGAAGCAGCCAUCAUUUAAAGAAAGCGUAAUAGCUCACUGGUCGAGUCGGCCUGCGCGGAAGAUGUAACGGGGCUAAACCAUGCACCGAAGCUGCGGCAGCGACACUAUGUGUUGUUGGGUAGGGGAGCG
rnacentral:rRNA from 1 species